rnacentral:rRNA from 1 species
GACGAACGCUGGCGGCGUGCUUAACACAUGCAAGUCGAACGGAAAGGCCCUGCUUUUGUGGGGUGCUCGAGUGGCGAACGGGUGAGUAACACGUGAGUAACCUGCCCUUGACUUUGGGAUAACUUCAGGAAACUGGGGCUAAUACCGGAUAGGAGCUCCUGCUGCAUGGUGGGGGUUGGAAAGUUUCGGCGGUUGAGGAUGGACUCGCGGCUUAUCAGCUUGUUGGUGGGGUAGUGGCUUACCAAGGCUUUGACGGGUAGCCGGCCUGAGAGGGUGACCGGCCACAUUGGGACUGAGAUACGGCCCAGACUCCUACGGGGGGCAGCAGUGGGGAAUAUUGCACAAUGGGCGGAAGCCUGAUGCAGCAACGCCGCGUGCGGGAUGACGGCCUUCGGGUUGUAAACCGCUUUCGCCUGUGACGAAGCGUGAGUGACGGUAAUGGGUAAAGAAGCACCGGCUAACUACGUG